GCAGCACAUGCCGAAGUAGCUUCCGCCACGGUCACCGACGAUGCCGAUAUCCACGAAUGGCGAAAGGAUGAAGAUGCGAGUGUCCGGCUAAUGCGCGCGAUUGCGGCAGGCCGCNNNNNNNNNNNNUCAAUGCCUGGUACAAUUCCGGCGCAGACGCGCUGCGUCUGGUCCAGCGCAUCGAUAUUGGCAUCGCGAUCGAUACCGAGGGCGGCCUCAUCGUGCCGGUUAUGCGCAAUGUCGCCGAGC
rnacentral:misc_RNA from 1 species